UAGUGAAAUCUGAAUGUUUCAGUGAACACGGUGUGUAUGUGUCUGUGUAAGGGAGUUUCAGUAAACUAUGUGUGUCCCUCAUACUGCCUGCAUACUUUUACUGUUUUCCUUUACUUUUGAGUUGUGAAACAAAAAUGAUGGCAUGCCUGAGGUGUUAAAUGAUGGCAUGCCUGAGGCUCUUCACUGUCUUUAUCACUCUUGUCUUCAGAAGAUUCAUCCUCAGAUCCAAUAUUUUCUGAUACUUUUGGAGCCUGAU
rnacentral:lncRNA from 7 species